rnacentral:rRNA from 1 species
UACGAAGGGUGCAAACGUUAUUCGGAUUUAUUGGGCGUACAGGGUGCGCAGGCGGCACGCUAAGUCAACUGUUAAAUCUCCCGGCCUAACUGGGAAUCAGCGGUAGAUACUGGCAUGCUAGAGGGUGGAAGAGAGAAGUGGAAUUCUUGGAGUAGCGGUAAAAUGCGUAGAUCUCAAGAGGAACACCGAUGGCGAAGGCAGCUUCUUGGUCCACAUCUGACGCUCAUGCACGAAAGCGUGGGGAGCAAACAGGAUUAGAUACCCUGGUAGUCCACGCUGUAAACGAUGAUCACUAGACGUUAGUUCUGCUCUGCAGAAUUAGUGUCGUAGCUAACGCGUUAAGUGAUCCGCCUGGGGACUACGGUCGCAAGAUUAAA